GCAGCCUCAUUAUUUUAUCCCCAUGGGCCAUGAAAAUAUCAUCAUUUUAUGUAAUAUUUGUGAGGUGAAAGGGUUUGGGAAGGACUGUUAAUCAGGAAUCAGUCUCUGGUUUAAUUUCUAAAGCCUAGAAAUACCCAAGUGGAGUUCACAGGAUACUUCAGUAUUUUUCCAUUCUAUCUCUCUCUCAUUUUUUCUGCAGUUAGGUUACAUGUAUUCUUGUGACUUCCCUUUAGAAUCCUAAUUGAGGUCAUAAUGAUAGUGAAGACGCCACUGCUCAGCCCCUUAGCUCAUCUCCAUACAUGGCAACUUCCAUGCUGUCUUCCUCACAGGGAGAGUCACCCUCAGGUGCUGAUUACUGAGUUGGAAAUUGUUGAGAAACAAGUACAAAAUCAUGUAUCUCUUCUACUGCCAUGAUCAAGCCCCAGUUCACACAAAUGAUAACGCAACAAACUGGAGCACACUGGAUUUUAUGUGGAAUCUUCUGGUGUAAUAACACGUUUCUGAUUUCAUGAGGUUUAAAUAUGUUGGUAAAAGAAUAAGUUCUGCACUUACUCAUUUACCUCCAUGCUGAACCAAAGUACUUACAAGAGAAUGUGAAAGUGAAUCAGAAGGGACGAACACACACAGAAAACCUUCCCUGACCUUUGGAAGUCAGAGAAUAGUCAACAAACUGAUUUAAGCAAUUUCACUGCUUUGAAGGUUUCAAAGAAGACUGAUUUCUGUUUGUUCAGCCACCAUUUGGAAGUGCAAAGAUCAAGGACAUCAAAAGUGUUAUCUGAACUUUUGAAUGUGUUUGUGAAAUUGCUAAUAUGUCAUGGAGGCAUUUUUCAGAGAUCUGCAUUGUGGCACUCUUUAUCUGUGUCAGUUUGGCAGGUGCCAUCUGAUCAAGUGAGUGGCCCUUCCGGCACACCAAAUGCCUUCCAAACUCCUUCCAAAGGCAUACAAGAGAGAAAAGAAAACCAGUCAUUUCCUGUGAUUGGGAGUUAGAGUCAACCAAAGGGCCUAUGAUGACUUCCUGAGGAUGUUUAGUUGGUCACUACCGUGGCUGACAGCUGGUGCAUGAAGCUUGUAGUCUACACUUCACAAGCAGCAGUAUUAAGUCUUCAAAAUCAUAAAGAAGUGCAGUUACGCUCUGCAGGAAGAACUACUUCAAUAAAGUUUAUCUGAGGGAGUCAGUCCAGGGCGAUAUGGUACUCCCCAUCAUCAGGGACC